AACUGUACACUGCAUGAACGGAGCCCACCAGAGCGGGUUAUUCUGUGCCGUGGCUCGCAUACUGGACAAGCUGAAGGUGGAGCAAGAAGUGGAUGUCUUCCACACGGUGAAGGCUGUCAGACAAAACAGACCACAGUUGAUCGAUAGCAAGGAACAAUAUGCAUUUUGUUACGAUGUGGUUGAAGAAUACGUCCACAAAGUUGACACGUACGUCAACCUCCAUAUGUAGACCAACGGAGGGACUCAAAGUCGUAGCUAAACUGUUUCCAACAAUGACAUGGAAAUCAUGCGUUUAAUUCUGAAAAUAAUGAGACUUUAUGGGGAAAGUAGUAUUUAAUCAGUGGCCUUCAGAAAAUAAAUAAAAGCUAAGUAUAGAGAUAUUUUAUAAUUUGUUAUAUGAACUAGCACAGAUGAUCAUGUCUU